GUGGAAAGGGAAGAACCUAGGGUUUACGAUUGGCAAGGGUACUUGGAGCUCGUGGCGCUCGCAAGGCGGUCCGGUCUGAAGGUUCGGGCUGUCAUGGCUUUUCAUGAGUGCGGUACUGGCCCCGGCGAUCCUUACUGGUGUAGAUGGAGCUGUUCGUAAAUUAAUCCAUAGAGAGAAAAAGGCAUGCUGGUCUGAUUAUCUUAAUCAAUUUGUGUGUUCUGAGUUCAUAUUCAGGUAUGAAUAGCUAUGAAUAGAAGUGUCCCGUUUUGUGUGACCUAACCCUUUGAAGGGGUGGCAAUCCCUCAAAGUGCGGCACUAAUCAAUGAAUGGUAAAGUAUACAUAUUUAUCCUCCUGAUUAAUUGGUAGACACGUCAAAUAGAUCUUAUAAUAUUGAUUAAGUGGUUAAUGUCGUCUAAUUAAAAUUUUCAAGCAACAUUAAUGCAGCGUUUAGAUGUUGAGUUGAGUUUAGUUGGGUAUAGUUAUUUAUGAAUAGUAGUCGGUUGAGAAUGUGGAGUAAAUUUUGUGAGGCUUAUCUAAGAUGAGUUUAAAUGUGUUUGGAUGUUAAUAUGAGUUUAAUACUAUGUAUGAAAAGUUGAAAAGGUUGUGGGUCCCACUUGUAAAUAGGCGUUGAGUUGAAAAUAGUUGUGGGUUUCACGUGUAAGGAAAUUUUGAAUUGAGAUGAGUUUAGUAGUUUGAGAGUUGUGUGUUUGGAUGUUAAACUUAACUUAAAAUUAGACUAAAUUGAGUUCAUCUCAGUGCAUUCCAACAACCAAACUAACCCUAAAGUUAGUGUUGUAGACUCAUUUUAUUGUUUUAUCUCUCCUCUAUCAUAAAUUACUACUACUAGUUAGAAAUAAGACCAAUAAUUGAAGGUAGAAUAUUGAAACUUGGUCGUCCCAUGGAUCAUGUCAUCGCUAAGGAUUAGCAUGACAAGAUUGCCAGCAAAACUUACAAGCCAAAAGCAGAAGACGAAAAGAUUGGGCCAUGCAAGGGCACUGACAGCUAUUUCCAUCCAAAUUCAAAAUUGCUUUCAAUUGCUUAAAGGUCAAUAUUAGGUUCGAUGCACAAAAGUUUGUUUAAUUGACUUUGUGGCCGUGAUCUCGGUAAUGGAUACUGGUUAUUCCUCAUAAUUCCAUUCCACAAUUAUUUUUGAUGGGGAGUGCAUGCACCAUGAAAACUUGUCAUUAUUUCACCCUCUCCCACCUAUAUUAAUAUUAUAUAAUAAGCACACCUCCCUACUACCAUGAAUCGGCCUAAUGGUCAGAACUUCUGUUCUUAUCUUCCGCGUACGUACCCUUCAUUGAUAUGCAGUCUCAAGGUCAGCAGAUUCUAUCUGUUUCUUUUCCUUUUUACUAGAAAGAUCAGAAGUGUGAGGAAUGGAUAUCGUGUAAAGAAAAGACAAAUAAUGAAAUCGGGUAAUGGUAUACAGUGAAUGGUCUGAAUUCAUAUACAUUGCUUUCGUGGUUCAUAGAUGAUCAAGAAAAUAGCCAUGAUCACGUACGAGAAGAGCAUUACCUGUUGGAGCAAUCCGCCUAGUGAAUUGCUUUGCAUGGAAUAAUAUCUCUGUUAAUGCAGACCAAAGAAAUCUCAGGAUCAAGAAGGUGGGCGUUGCUUCUAUAAUUAAUUCUAGCUAAUUGCCUCUGCUCCAAGUACUGAUUAAUAAUAAAUGUGAGACACUUGCAUGAGUUUGUUUGAUGAAUAAUUUAUAUAAAAUUAUGUGAAACAAACCUGCCCCACUAGGUAGCAGUUCUGUUUAUUUGGAAAGUGCCUACCACUAAGAUAUAUAUAUAUAUAUAUAUAUGCUUCCUUUCAUGUAUCUACUUAAUUCUAUCACAAGAAUUAGGCACUAGAAGCUUAGUACUCAUGAAUGAAAGGAACUGCAUGCAGUUUUUCAGCAAAUUUGGGAUGCCCUCCGUACGUCUUUAGGGGAGGAACUAGGAAGCCAUUCCUGUCAUGAUCAUCUCAUUUCUGUAGUUCUCUACCAACACAAUGAAAUUCUAUAUUGAGCUAGCUAGCUAGGUAGGGAGCCAAAGGAAAGAAGCAUGCAUGCAUGCAUAUAUGCAUCAUAACUUACGAAUAUAUAUUAUUAUUUUUUUGAAAUUCUAUAACAAAAUAAAGAAAUUUUCGUCGUCUUCAUUAUGUCAGCAUGAAGUAAUUGUAGUGUGUUCAUGCUAAUUAGUAGUACAUGAUACAAUUAUUUACAUACUGACAAGACGUUUUCGUUCACUUUUUUUUCUUUCUUUCUUCUUUCAUGCACCUGAUCUUCGAUCUCAGUGUUAUUUAAUCCCUUGAGAAUGUAUAGAUAUAUAUAUAUAUAUACACACUAAAGAAACCAGAGCCUUUAAGCGAAAAUGACAACAAUGAGUUCUUAUUAGAGGCCCGGAAAGUACCAAAGUAUCAGAAAUUAUAAUAUUGAAAGAAACACAAGUACUAUCUAUAAGAUUAAUAUAAUCAGAACUCAAAACAACUUUUCAGUAUGUUUCUGAUCAAUAACUACGGCGCCCUGAGAGCUUGAUUCUUCCUUUUGACAGCCCUAUUUAUGUGUGAGUGUGUGUGUAUAUAUAUAUAUUUAUAUGGGAAUUAGUAGGCCUUACUUAUUUUGUCUGCCGACAACCUCAAGUUGUAUAAGCAUUGGAACGGAAUCUUCAUCAUUCAAUUGAUCUCCUGAACUAAUUAGCUGUACAACAACACUAACAUUAUCCACGUACAGACAUUCCUGAUCCAGCUGGAAGGUGUUUUAAUUUAAUUUAAUAUCUGUGAUCAUGUUCUAUUCCCAGAUUUCACAAGUGAGUGCGUGCAUUCAUAAUGAUUUCAUUUGCAGAAUAAUAAUUUAUGUUUGCCUCUCGAUUGUUCAUGUUGAUAUACUUGGGUGUUUUGCACUGUAUAUGAUGAUCUCAAGGUGCACUAUAUAUAUAUAUAUUGAGUAGGACGUGAGUGCAUGGAGACUUUAAAUUGAAGGCUACCUAACAAGAGAAAGAAACUGCUGGCCCAUGGAAAUUGCAAAGGAGACUGAGAAAGAAGAUAGAUAUCGAUCAAAGGGGGAGGGAUUGAAUUCUAAAAGUUGACUCUGAGUUUGUGGACAACGGGUGUUGCAUUUUUUACAAUUUUCCACAAAGCUUUAGGGGAAGUUCAUCAUGACAGGCUCUUUUGGCUGCAUUCUCUCCCACUGAGAAUAUAAACGUCCAUAUAUACUUGAAUCCACCCUCAAACCUACAUCGCAACUUGAUCAACGGCAAAAGGGAAAUCAGCUAGCUAGCAAUGCUUUCUUGGAUCAAGGCCUUUAGCCUCAUCCUUCUCCUGCUCCUGGCUUCCUCAUCUUCAGGGCGCAGUGCUGAUCAUGGCCUCAGAAAUGGUAUGAAAAAGAGUACAUACUCAAGCCUGGAGGCAAUGAUCCAAAUGAAGGCGAGAAAGCUCAUCCGAGUUGAUGCACUGUGGAAUAACUUGGAUUAUCAAGACCCAAUUGCCAAUCCUGCACAUGAACCGAAGAAAGGCGGCCCUGGUGGGAAAGGAUGAGGCAAUAAACCUUGACAAACUCGAGGCUCGCGCGUUAUUUACGGCCCUUAAUCUUUUGUGAGAAUGGUGUCGCUGAUCAAGAGAGAUUUGAGAUGCAAGUGAUCGAAUCUAUUUUGAAGGGUUUGUCAUUUAUAUAUAUAUAUAUAUAUAUAGAUGUAUGUAUAUACUAUAUAGCUGUGGAUGGCAUGAAAAUUUUCUUCCCUAAAAGUAGUACUUGGCCAUAUAACGAGUGCUUAAAUUGUAAUCAUGAACACAUUCAUGAAAAAGAAUGAAGAGAUAAAUAAAGUUUGGGUCGAAAAUCAUUUGUAUGUA